GACGAACGCUGGCGGCGUGCCUAAUACAUGCAAGUCGAGCGGACCUGAUGGAGUGCUUGCACUCCUGAAGGUUAGCGGCGGACGGGUGAGUAACACGUAGGCAACCUGCCCUCAAGACUGGGAUAACUACCGGAAACGGUAGCUAAUACCGGAUAAUUUAUUUUGCAGCAUUGUGAAAUAAUGAAAGGCGGAGCAAUCUGUCACUUGAGGAUGGGCCUGCGGCGCAUUAGCUAGUUGGUGGGGUAACGGCCCACCAAGGCGACGAUGCGUAGCCGACCUGAGAGGGUGAACGGCCACACUGGGACUGAGACACGGCCCAGACUCCUACGGGAGGCAGCAGUAGGGAAUCUUCCGCAAUGGGCGAAAGCCUGACGGAGCAACGCCGCGUGAGUGAUGAAGGUUUUCGGAUCGUAAAGCUCUGUUGCCAAGGAAGAACGUCUUCUAGAGUAACUGCUAGGAGAGUGACGGUACUUGAGAAGAAAGCCCCGGCUAACUACGUGCCAGCAGCCGCGGUAACGC
rnacentral:rRNA from 1 species